CCCUUAGAUGUUCUGGGCCGCACGCGCGCUACACUGACGAAUGCAACGAGCUUAUAACCUUGGCCGAAAGGUCUGGGUAAUCUCCAAAUUUCGUCGUGAUGGGGAUAGAUUAUUGCAAUUAUUAAUCUUCAACGAGGAAUGCCUAGUAAACGCAAGUCAUCAGCUUGCAUUGAUUACGUCCCUGCCCUUUGUACACACCGCCCGUCGCACCUACCGAUUGAAUGGUCCGGUGAAAUCUCGGGACGGCGGCUUGGUCGCUUGCGUCCGACUGCUGAAACUUGAUUAAACCAUAUCAUUUAGAGGAUGGUGAANUCGUANCA
rnacentral:rRNA from 1 species